GGGUAAUCCCUUUGGCUGGGCUCAAGCCGGGCGCCAUCUUGCUCAUCGCGGGCGUGGCGCUGAACUACAUUUCCCAGAAGGCGCCGCGCCCUCGGCCCCUCCCCUCGCGACUCCCGCGGCUCGGGGGAGAGCUGCACGCGACCCAGGUGCUGGCCUCUGAGCGGGUCGGCUCGGAGACUACAGGAUCAGGAGGAGGUUGGAGGUGAAGCGUCUGGAAUCCGGUAAAGAUGGACACCUGCAUGAGGGAAGGAAUAUGUGAGCAGCUUCCAUUUCCCUUCCAUGGUCUUCUCAGCUUCCUCCAACAGUAGAUUGUUCAGCCUCCCUAAAGCAGGAGAAGAGGAAGGGGAAGAAAGGUGUUUUUCCGGGUUUCUAAGCAAAUACCUUGCUGCAGAUCUUCAACUGCAGGGGAGGGCAUGUUGCCAGAACAUCCUGUUUACAGAGGCCACUUAAAAUCCUUACGUUAACCCUAGGCAUACUGUGGUCAUCCUUUUCUGGUGGGUCACAUUGGCCCUCCAGAAGUUCUCUAGAACAGGAUCCAAGAUCUCCUGAGGUCAGCUCACUCCGUAUGGUCCAUAUCCUGUCACCACGUGGGAAUUAAGUUCCUAUCUCUGUUUCUCCUAAAUGGCAGGAAAAAAGGUAAAGUUCUCCUAAGAACUCUCUUAACACACUCCCCUUUGGAUCUUAGAGGGACUGGGAUGGAUCGGGUCAACUUGCUUGGUUUGAUUAGAGGAGGAAACACCCACCUCCUUUCCUCAGGGUGCUGAGAACACACCCACAGCUCUUCCCAAAAAUAGUCUCACCUCACAAAAAGUCCUCUUCCUCAGCCUCCCCAGCCUCUCACAUGUCCUUGAGGUAUGUUGAACUGUAGCAAAAAUUGUUUAUAGCCAGUUUCUUUUUUUUAAUUUUAAUUUUUUAAAAUAUGGUCAGCUGGGCGCAGUGGCUGCCUGUAACCCCAGCAAUUUGGGAGGGUGAGGCGUGCGAAUCACCUGAGGUCAGGAGUUCGAGACCAGCCUGACCAACAUGGAGAAACCCCAUCUCUACUAAAAAUACAAAAUUAACCAGGCAUGGUGGCACAUGCCUGUAAUCCCAGCUACUCAGGAGGCUGAGGCAGGAGAAUUGCUUGAACCCCGGAGGCAGCGGUUGCAGUGAGCUGAGAUCGUGCCAUUGCACUCCAGCCUGGAUGACAAGUCUCAAAAAAAAAAAAGAAAAGAAAAGAAAAAAAAAGAUAGGGUCUUGCUCUGUACUCCAGGCAACCUUGGCUCACUGCAGCCUCAACCUCCUGGACUCAAGUAGUCCUCCCACCUCAGCCUCCUGAGUAGCUGGGACUACAAGCACAUGUCACCACAUCUGGCUAAUUUUUAUAGUUUUUUCCUAGACGGCACCCGGCCUAGAAAGCAAUUUUAAACAAUGAGAAAUUUCAAGAAGGUGACUGGAUAUAAAAUAUGCCAAAAUAGUACACAUAAUGUAUAUGAUAUACAUAUAUAUAUGAAAACAACAAAUAGAAGAUUCAAUUGAGAAAGUUUUAAAAGACCCCAGCAAUGAUAGACAUAAAAAUAUGUUACUAAGGAAUAAAAUUAGCAAGAAUUGGUAUACCUUAUGAAGAGAACUUGAAUAUGGAGGGACUAAUCAGAAAACAAGUGAAAAAGCAUAGUAUAGGAUGCCUCAAACUCCUAAGGGUUUAAAACUUAAUUUGUAAUAAUUUAAUGUGAUCCCAAUCUGAUAAUUAUUUUAUUAAUAAAUUAAUAAUUGUUUUAUUAAAGACAAGUUAAUUCUGAAGUUCAUGUGGAAAAGUCAAUAUGGCAGAAUAGCCAGGAAAAUUCUGAAAAAGAGUAAUUCAGAACAUUUACUCUACCAUAUGUUUAAACAUAAAAUAAUAGCCUUGGCUGGGUGUGGUGGUUUAUACCUGUAAUCACUAAAAGCACUUCGAGAGGCUGAGGUAGAUGGAUCAUUUGAGCCCAGGAGUUUGAGACCAGCCUGGGCAACAUAAUGAAACACCAUCUCUACAAAAAAUACAGAAAUUAGCUGGGUAUGUUGACACAUGCAUAUAGUCUCAGCCAUCCUCCCAAAUGCUUUGGGAGGCUAAGGCGGGAGGAUGGCUUGAGCCUGGGAGGUCAAGACUGCAGUGAGCUGUGAUUGUACUACUGAAUUUCACCCUGGGUGACAGAGUGAGACCGUCUCAAAAUAAAAUAAAAUAAAAUAAAAUAAAAUAAAAUAAAAUAAAAGUCUUAAAAUAGCAUGGUUCUGACAGAUGAGCAGACGGAUCAGUGGAGUGGAAGAGAAACUCCAGACCCAGUAGGUAGUGCAGUAUUCUUCAUAUGGUAAAGACAGCAUUUCUAAUUAGGGGCACACAUAUGGAUUUAGUACUUCGUUUAUAAUAUACAACUGUAUAUUGUAACCAUUGUAGAGGGGAAGAAAAUAGGUCGUUAACAUUUCAUAUCUAUUAUUCCAAGUGGAUCAGAGAUUCAAAUGUGAAAUAUGAAAUCAUAAAAAUUCUCGAAAUAAUGUGGAAAAAAUGUUAGCCUCAGGACAUGGAAAUCAUUCUAAGUCUAACACAAAUCCUAGAACCCAUAAUUGAAAAUAAUAAUAAAUUUUUUUUUUUUUGAGACAGAGUGUCGCUCUGUUGCCCAGGCUGGAGUGCAGUGGUGCGAUCUCGGCUCACU
rnacentral:lncRNA from 1 species